GGAGUUAGACGGUGCUUCUUCUGUGAGUGAUGUCCUUCCUGCCGGCUAUUAACCCGCAGGCCUUCUUCCUCACUGAAAGUGCUUUACAACCCGAAGGCCUUCUUCACACACGCGGCAUGGCUGGAUCAGGGUUGCCCCCAUUGUCCAAUAUUCCCCACUGCUGCCUCCCGUAGGAGUCUGGGCCGUGUCUCAGUCCCAGUGUGGCUGAUCAUCCUCUCAGACCAGCUACGGAUCGUCGCCUUGGUGAGCCGUUACCUCACCAACCAGCUAAUCCGACAUAGGCUCAUCCGAUAGCGCGAGGCCCGAAGGUCCCCCGCUUUCCCCCGUAGGGCGUAUGCGGUAUUAGCCUGGGUUUCCCCAGGUUAUCCCCCACUACCGGGCAGAUUCCUAUGCAUUACUCACCCGUCCGCCGCUCGCCACCAGGGAGCAAGCUCCCCGUGCUGCCGCUCGACUUGCAUGUGUUAGGCCUGCCGCCAGCGUUCAAUCUGAGCCAGAAUCGAACCCUGA
rnacentral:rRNA from 1 species